AGUCAACCUACCCUAAAGAUAGGCAUAACCUCGAGAAAUUGAGGUGAAUUCCUAAUAGCUCACCCAUACUGGAAUGUAGGGUGAGUUAAAAAGAGCAUGAAUUGGAGUGAAUUCUGCUUUAGGAUGGGACUGCGGCUGAUUAGGCUGUUGGUGGGGUAACGGCCCACCAAACCAAUAAUCAGUACGGGCUAUGAGAGUAGGAGCCCGGAGAUGGGAACUGAGACAAGGUCCCAAGCCCUACGGGGUGCAGCAGGCGCGAAACUUCCGCAAUGCGCGAAAGCGUGACGGGGGCAGUCCGAGUGAUUCUCUUAGGAGAGUCUUUUGCUUAGUUCGAAUAACUAGGCGAAUAAGUGGUGGGUAAAUCCUGUGCCAG
rnacentral:rRNA from 1 species